AUUGAACGCUGGCGGCAUGCUUUACACAUGCAAGUCGAACGGUAACAGGCCGCAAGGUGCUGACGAGAGGCGCACGGGUGAGUAAUGCAUCGGAACGUGCCCAGUCGUGGGGGAUAACUACUCGAAAGAGUAGCUAAUACCGCAUACGAUCUAUGGAUGAAAGCGGGGGACCGUAAGGCCUCGCGCGAUUGGAGCGGCCGAUGUCAGAUUAGGUAGUUGGUGGGGUAAAGGCUCACCAAGCCAACGAUCUGUAGCUGGUCUGAGAGGACAACCAGCCACACUGGGACUGAGACACGGCCCAGACUCCUACGGGAGGCAGCAGUGGGGAAUUUUGGACAAAGGGCGCAAGCCUGAUCCAGCAAUGCCGCGUGCAGGAAGAAGGCCUUCGGGUUGUAAACUGCUUUUGUACGGAACGAAACGGCUCUGGUUAAUACCCGGGGCUAAUGACGGUACCGUAAGAAUAAGCACCGGCUAACUACGUG
rnacentral:rRNA from 1 species